rnacentral:lncRNA from 1 species
AAUUCUGUCUUCAUGACAUUUCAUUUAUGCAAGCCUCAAUCUUCAAGUUUGUAAGUUUUUCUAACUUUCUCUCUGAUUGUUUAUAUUAAUCUUGUAUACUGUUGAUGUUGUGAUUUUCUUUAUGAUUAUUAUCAUUGGAACUAUAUUGCUAUUUUUCAUAUUUUCUAAUAUUGCUCCAACAAUCUAAAGACAAAAGUUAUUAUUUGGAACAAUCAGAAAUAUGAAUGUAUGCAAUUUAAUUGGGUAGAGAUGAAGCGUUAACCCCAUAGAGCAAUUCUCAUAAAAUUGCGGUACUGAUAUUUACUUUCUUAUGCAUGUCUGGGUAGAAGUGAAGCAUUGCAUAGGGUUUGCAGGACUAUAUUUCCAUGAUGUUAUUUGGUUUGCUUUUGAUGGUCUAAGAAUUUUACAAUUGUCUUCACUUUUCUGAAAUGCACAUAUGACAGAAUUUAUGUCGGAGUCAAUGACUUUUGUAGUACAGUAUACAAUAUACUUGUGUUAUUUUGUUUGCAAACUGGGAUGAAUAUUUCUUUUGAAAAUUUGAUAUAAAUAGAGAGAUUAAAUUAUUUCACGAGUUAGUGACAAAUGGCCUGGAUAUCUUCAUGAGAAGGCAUUUGGUGCUUUAACCAAUCAAUUUGGUAGAAGUGGGUAUAAAUAAUGCAUGUGCAUAAUGUGCAUGGAGACCGCUUAGCGGUUCUUGACUUUAUUGUUGACUUAUUAACCAUUGUAAUGUCUGCAAAUCCAAAUCUUGUUUGGAUUCUAGAUGAUGCUUGAAUAUAUGUCAAGUAUGCAACAUAUUGAAAUUUCUCAGCCAAAAUAAAAACUAGGAUUGAUCACGGCAUUGCACCUGGAAUUAAUAUCCUAAUGGCAUGUAGCAAUAGCAUGUAUCAAAUACAUGUGAAAUGAAAUGAGCAUGACGAUAUCCAUAGAUGAGAUCAAAGGCCACAAAUAUGCCUUAUUUAAGAACCACAUGCACAUGGUUUUUAUUACAUUUGGGCAAAAGACAACGAAAAAGAGUUUUGCCAUGGCUCAUGAUUUAGUCAUGUUUGGCAAUGAAAUUUACAUUGUUGUCCAUGGAACAUUAGUGUAUAAACUCAGUUGGGAUGCGUUAUCUUUGUCUUAAAAGAAAAUGACAAUUGAAUUGUGGGGGUUCUGCCCAAGGAUGCAAGCCAAGAAGAGUUUUUCUUAUAAUGGCUAGCGAGGCAUGAAGGCCCUAGAGUGUGGUGCCAUAAUUAAGUUACAGAGAUGAAUGGAACAUUGGUAGAGCCUAGAAUGAUUGGCGAUAACUUCUUAAAAGGAAGUUAUGUGAUGGCAACUACAAACCAAUUAAGUGCUGCCAUAAGCCAAGUAUCGAUAAGAAAGUCAAUGAAUUUGGAUUAGAGAUAUAACAGAACCUAAUGUUGUUUUAAAAAGCCAAAACAGUGAGAUAAGACAUUGAAACUGUGGGGAUUUCUUAUAGAAGUGCACUAGAACAAAUAUGGCUUAUUUAGUAGGCAAAAUUAAGUUUUGUUGUUGACGAGUUAGCCAUGGUUUUAAGGUACUUAAGGUACAUUAUCGUAGAGUGUUGUUUGUACCAUACUUAGGGCCUCCGUAUUUAGAUCUCGUAUAAAUAUUCGGGGGACUCAAAUGUAAUUAUGUAAUAAAUGAAGGGGCAAAUAUGUAAAAAAGGGAGGAGCCCUUAGUUUAUAAAAGGCCUCAUCACCUUCACAAUCUUCAAGCCUCACUCUCACAUUACAAAGCUCUCAUCCUCACAUACAGAGGCUCUCACCCUCACAAUUCUCUCACAAACAGAGAAAUACAAUAUCAGUGUGGACGU